rnacentral:misc_RNA from 1 species
UUUGUUAAGUUGCAUAUGUAGUCCUCCACAAACUUGUCUGGUGAGUCCAUGUUUUGGUCCAGCUUUGGGACUACAACAUGAUCAUCCACAUUCAAUUCUGUUGCUUUCCAUUUCAGCUUUCCACUUUCUUUGUCAAAUACCUGUAAACUGGAGAAGCGAGGGUGCUGGAGCAAACCAUUAAUUAAUUUGGGUUUUGCUUCCUCUGGGUUGAUUUUGG